rnacentral:rRNA from 1 species
UGGGGAAUAUUGCACAAUCGGCGCAAGCCUGAUGCAGCCAUGCCGCGUGUGUGAAAAAGGCCUUCGGGUUGUAAAGCUCUUUCAGCGGGGAGGAAGGCGGUGAGGUUAAUAACCUCACCGAUUGACGUUACCCGCAGAAGAAGCACCGGCUAACUCCGUGCCAGCAGCCGCGGUAAUAUGGAGGGUGCAAGCGUUAAUCGGAAUUCCGGUGCGUAAAGCGCCCGCAGGCGGUCUGUGAAGUCGGAUGUGAAAUCCCCGGGCUAAAGAUGGGAACUGCAUUCGAAACUGGCAGGCUAGAGUCUUGUAGAGGGGGGUAGAAUUCCAGGGGUAGCGGUGAAAUGCGUAGAGAUCUGGAGGAAUACCGGUGGCGAAGGCGGCCCCCUGGACAAAGACAGACGCUCAGGUGCGAAAGCGUGGGGAGCAAACAGG